AUGGCCUGGGCUCUGCUCCUCCUCAGCCUCCUCUCUCAGGGCACAGGGUCCUGGGCCCAGGCGGCCCUCACUCAGCCACCAUCCGUGUCCGGGACUCCUGGGACUUCAGUCACCAUCUCCUGUGUGGGAAGCAGCAAUGACAUUGGGCGUUAUAAUUAUGUCUCCUGGUACCAACAGCGCCCGGGCUCGGCCCCCAAACUCCUGAUUUAUGAUGUCACAAAACGGCCCUCGGGGAUCCCUGAGCGCUUCUCUGGCUCCAAGUCUGGCAACACGGCCACCCUGACCAUCUCUGGGCUGCAGGCUGAGGACGAGGCUGACUAUUACUGCUGCUCAUUAUCAAGCAGUGGUACUCUGCACAGUGGUGCAAGUUCAUGGGGAAGUGAGACCAAAACCUGCCCUUGGCUCCCAGGCGCCCUCCAUGCUCUGUAGAUGCUCCCAUCCCUGGGAAUGGGGCUCAGGCUGAAUGGCCUGGAGGUUUCAUCCUCUGUCCCGUCCUCCCACCUCUCCUAGAGCCUUGAGAACGAAGCAUGUUUUCUCAGCUCUUCUCCCCUCUAGGAAGUCCACUGCCUUGGCUUGUGUUUUGUGCAUACAGAAGGCCCCGCAUUCCAAAGCAUUCAUUACAACAGCCACAGGCAGCCUCUGCUCGGCUUGAGGGGUAGAUUUCCCAAAAUCCUCUGGGAAAUCCUCACU